rnacentral:rRNA from 1 species
UACAGAGGUGGCAAGCGUUGUUCGGAAUUACUGGGCGUAAAGCGCGCGUAGGCGGAUCACUAAGUCAGGGGUGAAAUCCCGAGGCUUAACCUCGGAACUGCCUUUGAUACUGGUGAUCUGGAGAUCGGGAGAGGUUGGUGGAAUUCCGAGUGUAGAGGUGAAAUUCGUAGAUAUUCGGAGGAACACCAGAAGCGAAGGCGGCCAACUGGCCCGAUACUGACGCUGAGGCGCGAAAGCGUGGGGAGCAAACAGG